rnacentral:lncRNA from 1 species
UUUUUUAUUUUUAUUUUUUUAGGGCCACACCUGUGGCAUAUGGAGGUUCCCAGGCUAGGGGUCUAAUUGGAAUUACAGCUGCUGGCCUACGCCGCAACCACAACACAGGAACCGAGCUGCAUCUGCAACUUACACAAUAGCUCACGGCAACGCUGCAUCCUUAACCCACUGAAAGAGGCCAGGGAUCGAACCGCAGCCUCAUGGUUCCUAUUUGGACUCAUUUCCACUGUGCCACGAUGGUAACUCCCAAUAAUAAUUUCUUAUAUGUCCCCUCUACUGCAUGUUUUUCAUGUUAUACAGACCACUAUUAUCGAAUAUACCCCACAUUACUAUGGAAGAGUAAGCCAAUCAAGAACAGCAUAGAAAUAUAUACUCAUGAGAUAUCUGUAGAUACUGGCAUAAGUAAUUGAUUACAAAAAUUACUGAGGCAUCUGCUGAACUUGAGGGUAAAUAUUUGCCAAAGCACAGAAAACCUUAUAGAUAUGUUAAACAUCAGAUCUUUGGGCAGGCAUCUGUUCAAAAAAAUAUAUUUAGGAGUUCCUGCUGUGGCACAGUGGGUUAAGGAUCCAAAUGCAGAGGCCUGAGUCACUGCAGAGAUGUGGGUUCAAUCCCCGGCCCAGGGCAGUGGUUAAGGAUCUGGCUUGGUUGCAGCUGUGGCAUAGGUUGCAGCUGUGGCUCAGAUUUGAUCCCUGGCCUGGGAACUUUCAUAUGCUGCAGGUGCAGCUGAAAAAGAAAAAAGAAAUAUGUGUGUGUGUGUAUACGUGUAUACACAUACAAAUAAAAAAAAGCUAGAUGCUUGGAUAUUGACAAAUAUUUUUGUGAAGACCAGAGAGCAUGAUAGAUCGUAUACACUCCAUAUAUUUGAACAUUAAUUUGAUUAUCAUUCAUUUCUCCACACUAAUAUAUAAGUUCUGUGUGAGUAUUCACUAAUGGUUGUGAGCCACAUGGGAAGUCCAGAUAUUCACUAAUGGAAAUUACAAGAACUUAGAAUAGCAUCUCAUACCUAGUACUUAAUAAAUGUUAGUUGAAUUAAUGAAUAAUUUUACAUUAUCUUGGCAAUGAAAAAAUAAGCUUAGGUUAAAGUAAAUUAUAACAGACAUGGCUUCUGAAAAAGAUACUGUAACAUAAUUCUGGUUCUCUUGUCCUUCACUCAUCUUAUAGUGAGGAAUUUUUCUACCCACAGCUCCAAUUGGUAUGAUCUCUAUCAAUGUGGACAACAUCAAAAUAAGUAUACAGAAUUGUACUGCUAUUGUUUUGCAUAAACUGGUUGGGCAUGUUUUUACAAUUUUACAUUAUUCUCUAUUCCCAGAGUUUGGGGUAAUCUUGUCAUAACAAUCAGAGAAGCUGAGGACCGAAUGGACUUUUGUCUCCGGGAAAUUCAUAUGAAAACUCCUCCUCUUUUUCAUGUGUCCUUUCAUGUUAUGUCAAAGGCAAAGUCUUCCUCCAUAAAGAAGGGAAAAGUAGAGAAUAUUCACUCAUAUCCAUGCAGUCCUGCUAUCGUCACAGCUAUGGAAGGACUUCAGCAGGAAAACAAUUGUGAUUUUCUCAUCAGUGAAAGUCUCUAAGGAUGUAAAGAAGUAAGAAUGUGAAAGGAUAUUCAUUAUCAUGGUCUCCUGUUACAUCAGUCUCUAAUAUCAAGGGCUUUGGUAUGGAAAUUGCAGUUCACCAUCCUUGAGUGUAUUUAAUACCCUCUAACAGAGUCAUCAGGAUUAAAGGAGCUAAAAUGCCAGGUGUUUGCGACCUAUAAUCAAGAGGAUGUCACUGCAGUUCCUGGCAGGUUUAAUAAUGAUAUACAGUAUUUUUUUCAUAGUUUUAUAAAAUGCAAGGCAGACAGCUGUUGAAUAUGUAAAUUAUACUCAGAACAUAUUAUUUUCCUCUUCAAAUAAAUGGCCAUUUAAGUAAUGAGCCUGGGAGAAUGAGUGAUGACCAUUACUUCUUGCUUUCCCCAUCUAGCAAACUCUUCUUGAAGAAAAAGAUACCAUCUAUAGCCACUGAAGUAAUUACAAUUGAUGUCUGAAUUACAAAGAAAUAAUAAUCCAUUUUCCUCUAAGUGACAAAACCCAAGCUCUAGAAAAUGGGAAUACGUGGGAAUCACGAUAGAAAAUAUAAGAAGAAUAAAAACUGAACAUUGACUUAAGAUUUAUCAUUGAAUAUAGAGAUUACCAUAAAAAAUACUUGUCUGUUGACAUGACUCUUAGGUUUUUGUUUGUUUGUUUGUUUUUGUUUUGUCUUUUUGCCAUUUCUUGGGCCGCUCCCGCGGCAUGUGGAGGUUCCCAGGCUAGGGGUUGAAUCGGAACUGUAGCCACCGGCCUAUGCCAGAGCCACAGCAAGGCAGGAUCCGAGCCGCGUCUGCAACCUACACCACAGCUCACGGCAACGCCGGAUCCUUAA